rnacentral:rRNA from 1 species
UACGGGGGGGGCAAGCGUUGUUCGGAAUUACUGGGCGUAAAGGGCUCGUAGGCGGCCAACUAAGUCAGACGUGAAAUCCCUCGGCUUAACCGGGGAACUGCGUCUGAUACUGGAUGGCUUGAAUCCGGGAGAGGGAUGCGGAAUUCCAGGUGUAGCGGUGAAAUGCGUAGAUAUCUGGAGGAACACCAAUUGCGAAGGCAGCUCGCUGGGACGUUACUGACGCUGAGACGCGAAAGCGUGGGGAGCA